rnacentral:rRNA from 1 species
CGGAGAACGCUGGCGGCGUGGAUUAGGCAUGCAAGUCGGACGGUAGGGCUUUAUCGUAAGAUAGAGUUUGAGAGUGGCGAACGGGUGAGUAACACGUAGGAAUCUACCCUUAAGACGGGGACAACCCAGGGAAACUUGGGCUAAUACCGGAUGAGAGUGCGAGAGAUUGCAUUUAAAAGGAUGGCGAAAGUUGUCGCUUAGGGAUGAGCCUGCGGUCUAUUAGUUAGUUGGUGAGGUAAGAGCUCACCAAGGCGAUGAUAGAUAGGCGGCCUUAACGGGUGGUCGCCCACACUGGGAUUGAGACACGGUCCAGACUCCUACGGGAGGCAGCAGUGAGGAAUAUUGGUCAAUGGAGGCAACUCUGAACCAGCCAAGUCGCGUGAAGGAUGAAGGUCUUAUGGAUUGUAAACUUCUUUUGCAGGGGAAUAAAUAGCGGUACGUGUACCGUUUUGCAUGUACCCUGCGAAUAAGGAUCGGCUAACUCCGUG